GACGAACGCUGGCGGCGCGCUUAACACAUGCAAGUCGAGCGAUGAAAUCUUAACAGAACCCUUCGGGGUGAAGAUAAGACGGAUUAGCGGCGGACGGGUGAGUAACACGUGAGUAACCUGCCUUUUACACAGGGAUAGCCUCAGGAAACCGGGAUUAAAACCUGAUGAAACUAUCAAAACACAUGAUUAAGAAAGUUAAAACUCCGGUGGUAAAAGAUGGACUCGCGUCCCAUUAGCUAGUUGGUGAAGGUAACGGCCCACCAAGGCAACGAUGGGUAGCCGGCCUGAGAGGGUGAACGGCCACAUUGGAACUGAGAAACGGUCCAAACUCCUACGGGAGGCAGCAGUGGGGAAUAUUGCACAAUGGGGGAAACCCUGAUGCAGCGACGCCGCGUGAGCGAAGAAGGCCUUCGGGUCGUAAAGCUCUUUUAUAUGGGAAGAUAAUGACGGUACCAUAAGAAAAAGCCCCGGCUAACUACGUG
rnacentral:rRNA from 1 species